rnacentral:rRNA from 1 species
GGGGGGGGGGGGGGGGGGGGGGGGGGGGGGGGGGGGGGGGGGGCGGGGGGGGGGCGUGCGGGUGUGGUGUUGGCGGCGGACGGGGGGGGGACACGGGGGUAACCUAGCUAUAAGACUGGGAUGACUUCGGGGAACCGGAGCUAAUACCGGAUAAUAUUUUGAACCGCAUGGUUCAAAAGUGCAAGACGGUCUUGCUGUCACUUAUAGAUGGAUCCGCGCUGCAUUGGCUAGUUGGUAAGGUAACGGCUUACCAAGGCAACGAUGCAUAGCCGACCUGAGAGGGUGAUCGGCCACACUGGAACUGAGACACGGUCCAGACUCCUACGGGAGGCAGCAGUAGGGAAUCUUCCGCAAUGGGCGAAAGCCUGACGGAGCAACGCCGCGUGAGUGAUGAAGGUCUUCGGAUCGUAAAACUCUGUUAUUAGGGAAGAACAUAUGUGUAAGUAACUGUGCACAUCUUGACGGUACCUAAUCAGAAAGCCACGGCUAACUACGUG